GGGUCUGUUUUAUAAUAGCUAGUCCUCAAUUUGGUCCAAUGUCGCAGCCCCACCUCUGGAGUUGAGUCCUGCCUCCUACUUUGGAGGGCUGACAGUGGGAGCCAGGUUUCUCAGGGAUAAAGUAGAAGAUCACAGACAGGCAAGGGGAGGAGGCUGAGCUCAUGUUCAACCCAAUAUAGAUAGUUACAGCAAAAUAUGUACAGAUAUGUGUAUAUACAUAUAUACACACAUACAGCUCCCUGCUCUGUCUGCAGACAGGGCCUCCAAGACACGUCACCCCAGUAACAAGUACACAUUGGCCGGGUGUGGUGGUUUAUGCCUGUGAUCCCAGUACAUUGGGAGGCCGAGGCAGGAGGAUAACCUGAGGUCAUGAGUUCACGACCAGCCUGGCCAAUAUGGUGAAACCCCGUCUCUGCUAAAAAUAUAAAACUUAGCUGGGUGUGGUCGUGGGCGCCUGUAAUCCCAGCUACUAAGGAGGCUGAGGCAGGAGAAUUGCUUGAACCUGGGAAGCGGAGGUUGUUGCAGUGAGCCGAGAUCACGCAACUGCACUCCAGCCUGGCAACAGAGCGAGACUCUGUCUCAAGAAAACAAAGAAACAAAAAACAAACAAACAAAACAAAAACUAAAAAAAGCCCCCAAACCUGACAGAUGCCAUUCGGCCAGGAAAUCAAGGUCAACACCAGCAGAGUAAGUCAUGUUGACAGUUUGUACCUUUGAUAUGGUGUGAUGAGAUGGGUGCUUCACCUCUGUGGUCUUCCUUCCCCAAAUCCAUUACCCUCAUUUAACUGUGAGAAAGACAUCAGAGAAACCUCAAUGGAGGGACAUUCUGUAGAACACCUGACCACCAUUCCUCAAAACUGUCCCCGAAAACAAGACAGUUUGACAAACCGUCACACCCCAGAACAGCCUAAGGAGACAUGAGGAGUAAGUGUCAUGUAAGAUUCUAGGACAGAAAAAAGACAUUGCAACCAAUGGCCAUACCAGUGGAAGGUGAUAAUCAUGUGGGAGGCGGGCCGGGCGCACUGGCCCACUCCUGUAAUCCCAGCACCUUGGAAGGCCG
rnacentral:lncRNA from 1 species